rnacentral:snRNA from 1 species
GUCAAGUCGGAUUUUUUGAAUUCU